rnacentral:rRNA from 1 species
CUACGGGCGGCUGCAGUGGGGGAUAUUGCACAAUGGGGGAAACCCUGAUGCAGCGAUGCCGCGUGGAGGAAGAAGGUUUUCGGAUUGUAAACUCCUGUCGUAAGGGACGAAUAAAUGACGGUACCUUACAAGAAAGCACCGGCUAACUACGUGCCAGCAGCCGCGGUAAUACGUAGGGUGCAAGCGUUGUCCGGAAUUACUGGGUGUAAAGGGAGUGCAGGCGGGACUGCAAGUCAGAUGUGAAAACUAUGGGCUCAACCCAUCAGAUUGCAUUUGAAACUGUGGUUCUUGAGUGAAGUAGAGGUUGGCGGAAUUCCUAGUGUAGCGGUGAAAUGCGUAGAUAUUAGGAGGAACAUCAGUGGCGAAGGCGGCCAACUGGGCUUUUACUGACGCUGAGGCUCGAAAGCGUGGGUAGCAAACAGGAUUAGAUACCCUUGUAGUC